GUAGGCUGCAACUCGCCUACACGAAGUCGGAAUCGCUAGUAAUCGCGGAUCAGCAUGCCGCGGUGAAUACGUUCCCGGGCCUUGUACACACCGCCCGUCACACCAUGGGAGUUCGUAACGCCCAAAGUCGGUGGCCUAACCUUUAUGGAGGGAGCCGCCUAAGGCGGGACAGAUGACUGGGGUGAAGUCGUAACAAGGUAAC
rnacentral:rRNA from 1 species